UAGGGAAUCUUCCGCAAUGGACGCAAGUCUGACGGAGCAACGCCGCGUGAGUGAAGAAGGAUUUCGGUUCGUAAAACUCUGUUGUUAGAGAAGAACAGCGCAUAGAGUAACUGUUAUGCGUGUGACGGUAUCUAACCAGAAAGCCACGGCUAACUACGUGCCAGCAGCCGCGGUAAUACGUAGGUGGCAAGCGUUGUCCGGAUUUAUUGGGCGUAAAGCGAGCGCAGGCGGUCAAUUAAGUCUGAUGUGAAAGCCCCCGGCUCAACCGGGGAGGGUCAUUGGAAGCUGAUUGUCUUGUGGGCAGGAGAGGGGAGGGGAAUUGCAUGUGUAGCGGUGAAAUGCGUAGAUAAAUGGGGGAACACCAGUGGGAAAGGCGGCACUCUGGUCUGUAACUGACGCUGAGGCUAGAAAGCGUGGGUAGCAAACAGG
rnacentral:rRNA from 1 species